GAUGAACGCUGGCGGCGUGCCUAAUACAUGCAAGUCGAGCGAACAGACGAGGAGCUUGCUCCUCUGACGUUAGCGGCGGACGGGUGAGUAACACGUGGAUAACCUACCUAUAAGACUGGGAUAACUUCGGGAAACCGGAGCUAAUACCGGAUAAUAUAUUGAACCGCAUGGUUGAAUAGUGAAAGACGGUUUUGCUGUAACUUAUAGAUGGAUCCGCGCUGCAUUAGCUAGUUGGUAAGGUAACGGCUUACCAAGGCAACGAUGCGUAGCCGACCUGAGAGGGUGAUCGGCCACACUGGAACUGAGACACGGUCCAGACUCCUACGGGAGGCAGCAGUAGGGAAUCUUCCGCAAUGGGCGAAAGCCUGACGGAGCAACGCCGCGUGAGUGAUGAAGGUCUUCGGAUCGUAAAACUCUGUUAUUAGGGAAGAACAAAUGUGUAAGUAACUAUGCACGUCUUGACGGUACCUAAUCAGAAAGCCACGGCUAACUACGUG
rnacentral:rRNA from 1 species